UAACAAGGAUUCCCCUAGUAACUGCGAGUGAAGCGGGAAGAGCUCAAGCUUAAAAUCUGCAGGUAUUAAAUUACUUGCCGAAUUGUAGCUUAUGGAGGCAGUUUUCAUCUCUGCGGCGUGGUAAAAGUUCUUUUGAAUAAGACAUCAAAGAGGGUGAAAAUCCCGUAUUUGACCAUGCUGGGAAUACUAAAAGUAGGGAUAUGUGAACUGUUUUCUUUGAGUCGGGUUGUUUGGGAAUGCAGCCCUAAUUUGGAGGUAAAUUUCUUCUAAAGCUAAAUACUGGCAAGAGACCGAUAGCAAACAAGUACCGUGAGGGAAAGAUGAAAAGCACUUUGAAAAGAGAGUGAAAAGUACGUGAAAUUGUUGAAAGGGAACCAGUUGGUAGCCAAGCUUUGAUAAAGAUGGGGUACUUGUCUUUAACGAGGUCAACAUCGGUUGCUAUUUAGCCGCCUGAGAGGAAUUUUGUAGGUUAGCGGAGUAAGGUAGAAUGUGUAGGGAUUUAUCUCUAUUCAUUUGUUAUAGACUCUAUGAAUCUACUGUAAUUAUGCCUUGAGGCGGUGGCGACCGAGGUACGCAGUGUGUUGCCUUUGGCAAUGGAGAAAUUUAGGAAGGUAUGGUUUUUUUGGUUUUUAUAGACAGCUUGCUGACUAUGAUGGCAAAAGAAUAUAUCUCAUCUUAAAUUUUUACCCAGAAACACUUGGGAUGUUGGCGAAAAGCACCAAUGA
rnacentral:rRNA from 1 species